AUUGAACGCUGGCGGCAUGCCUUACACAUGCAAGUCGAACGGCAGCACGGGAGCAAUCCUGGUGGCGAGUGGCGAACGGGUGAGUAAAGUAUCGGAACGUGCCCAGUCGUGGGGGAUAACGUAGCGAAAGUUACGCCAAUACCGCAUACGAUCUAUGGAUGAAAGCGGGGGAUCGCAAGACCUCGCGCUAUUGGAGUGGCCGAUAUCAGAUUAGGUAGUUGGUGGGGAAAAGGCCCACCAAGCCGACGAUCUGUAGCUGGACUGAGAGGACGACAAGCCACACUGGGACUGAGACACGGCCCAGACUCCUACGGGAGGCAGCAGUGGGGAAUUUUGGACAAUGGGCGAAAGCCUGAUCCAGCCAUGCCGCGUGCAGGAUGAAGGCCUUCGGGUUGUAAACUGCUUUUGUACGGAACGAAAAGGACUGCCCUAAUACGGUGGUCCCAUGACGGUACCGUAAGAAUAAGCACCGGCUAACUACGUGCCAGCCGCCGCCGUAA
rnacentral:rRNA from 1 species